rnacentral:rRNA from 1 species
CAAGUCGAGCGGACCUUCAGGAGCUUGCUCCUAAAGGUUAGCGGCGGACGGGUGAGUAACACGUGGGCAACCUGCCCUAUAGUUGGGGAUAACUCCGGGAAACCGGAGCUAAUACCGAAUGAUACAAUUUAACUCCUGUUAGAUUGUUGAAAGAUGGUUUACGCUAUCGCUAUAGGAUGGGCCCGCGGCGCAUUAGCUAGUUGGUGAGGUAACGGCUCACCAAGGCGACGAUGCGUAGCCGACCUGAGAGGGUGAUCGGCCACACUGGGACUGAGACACGGCCCAGACUCCUACGGGAGGCAGCAGUAGGGAAUCUUCCACAAUGGACGAAAGUCUGAUGGAGCAACGCCGCGUGAGUGAAGAAGGUUUUCGGAUCGUAAAACUCUGUUGUAAGGGAAGAACAAGUACAGUAGUAACUGGCUGUACCUUGACGGUACCUUAUUAGAAAGCCACGGCUAACUACGUGCCAGCAGCCGCGGUAAUACGUAGGUGGCAAGCGUUGUCCGGAUUUAUUGGGCGUAAAGCGCGCGCAGGCGGUCCUUUAAGUCUGAUGUGAAAGCCCACGGCUCAACCGUGGAGGGUCAUUGGAAACUGGAGGACUUGAGUGCAGAAGAGGAAAGUGGAAUUCCA